rnacentral:rRNA from 1 species
AUUGAACGCUGGCGGCAGGCUUAACACAUGCAAGUCGAGCGGAGAUGAGGUGCUUGCACCUUAUCUUAGCGGCGGACGGGUGAGUAAUGCUUAGGAAUCUGCCUAUUAGUGGGGGACAACAUUCCGAAAGGAAUGCUAAUACCGCAUACGUCCUACGGGAGAAAGCAGGGGAUCUUCGGACCUUGCGCUAAUGGAUGAGCCUAAGUCGGAUUAGCUAGUUGGAGGGGUAAAGGCCUACCAAGGCGACGAUCUGUAGCGGGUCUGAGAGGAUGAUCCGCCACACUGGGACUGAGACACGGCCCAGACUCCUACGGGAGGCAGCAGUGGGGAAUAUUGGACAAUGGGGGGAACCCUGAUCCAGCCAUGCCGCGUGUGUGAAGAAGGCCUUAUGGUUGUAAAGCACUUUAAGCGAGGAGGAGGCUACUGAGACUAAUACUCUUGGAUAGUGGACGUUACUCGCAGAAUAAGCACCGGCUAACUCUGUGCCAGCCGCCGCGGUAA